rnacentral:rRNA from 1 species
AUUAUACCGUGAAACUGCGAAUGGCUCAUUAAAUCAGUUAUCGUUUAUUUGAUAGUACCUUACUACUUGGAUAACCGUGGUAAUUCUAGAGCUAAUACAUGCUAAAAACCCCAACUUCGGAAGGGGUGUAUUUAUUAGAUAAAAAACCAACGCCCUUCGGGGCUUCUUGGUGAUUCAUGAUAACUUUACGGAUCGCAUGGCCUUGCGCCGGCGACGGUUCAUUCAAAUUUCUGCCCUAUCAACUUUCGAUGGUAAGGUAUUGGCUUACCAUGGUUUCAACGGGUAACGGGGAAUUAGGGUUCGAUUCCGGAGAGGGAGCCUGAGAAACGGCUACCACAUCCAAGGAAGGCAGCAGGCGCGCAAAUUACCCAAUCCCGACACGGGGAGGUAGUGACAAUAAAUACUGAUACAGGGCUCUUUUGGGUCUUGUAAUUGGAAUGAGUACAAUUUAAACCUCUUAACGAGGAACAAUUGGAGGGCAAGUCUGGUGCCAGCAGCCGCGGUAAUUCCAGCUCCAAUAGCGUAUAUUAAAGUUGUUGCAGUUAAAAAGCUCGUAGUUGAAACUUGGGCCUGGCUGGCAGGUCCGCCUCACCGCGUGUACUUGUCCGGCCGGGCCUUCCUUCUGGAGAACCUCAUGCCCUUCACUGGGUGUGUUGGGGACCAGGACUUUUACUUUGAAAAAAUUAGAGUGUUCAAAGCAGGCCUUUGCUCGAAUACGUUAGCAUGGAAUAAUAGAAUAGGACGUGCGGUCCUAUUUUGUUGGUUUCUAGGACCGCCGUAAUGAUUAAUAGGGACAGUCGGGGGCAUCAGUAUUCAAUUGUCAGAGGUGAAAUUCUUGGAUUUAUUGAAGACUAACUACUGCGAAAGCAUUUGCCAAGGAUGUUUUCAUUAAUCAGUGAACGAAAGUUAGGGGAUCGAAGACGAUCAGAUACCGUCGUAGUCUUAACCGUAAACUAUGCCGACUAGGGAUCGGGCGAUGUUCUUUUUCUGACUCGCUCGGCACCUUACGAGAAAUCAAAGUUUUUGGGU